CAAUAGAUGAGUUAGUCCCGCUCCGUGUAUACCGAUGAAUAUAUCGGUAUUUCUUGUGAUUUGAAGUUGUUUUUUAAAAGAUACUUUCUUAUUAUAAACCACCUAAAUAGAGAAGUUUUAUAAAUUCGACCGUAACGGUGCAACGCCUAGGCAAAAGGAACGAACGUGUGCGAUCGAGAUAUCGCGUUGGUCCGUCCCGCGGGCUAAUCACGAUGAUCCACAAAUCAAUGCUAAUCGAUGCUUUCGAGAGAAUCGAGAUAUCGAACACGAGCGACAAUGGUUCAUGGAUACCUUCGGACACAACCUGCCGUGGCGUGACCCGGAAAUAGAUCUCGCCGAACUAGCCCGACGUUACAUUCACAUAAACAUAUAGUACGAGCAAGUAAGUCUGCGUGUACGUUUAUACGAACGGUAUCGAUGGAGGACACGACGAUGGUGAGCUUGACCACCGAGGAUUGCCGCGGAUAGAUCGAGAGAACGAUCUACAUCGAUCACGAUCACGUCACCCUCGGCCCGACCCUCAACCUGGUCUGAUCGCAACGGCUGUUCAUCGCUCUUCCAUCGUUUUUCCAUCGUUUUUCCAUCGAUCGAACUCAAAACGAAAAUGAAACGACGCGAAAUCAGACGAGCUUGAAUUGGAUUCUUUGAAGGAAAACGUUACGAGCUCGACAGUUCGCCGGAUUCGUGCGUAGGAUCACGAAUAAAUUGAGGAAGCAGCACGUUUUUAUCCGACAGAAACGAAUAAUAAUAUCGUUCGUGAAAAUUGCUCUUCCCGAAGGUGCAUCGAGAACCCAUAUCUUUUACCAAUCGAUUCGUCGACUUUCGGAAAAGCGAGAAGAGCAAAGGAGGGUGCGGAAGAACCAUAUGGCACUUUUCGGGCGCGUGGCACAAAGAGAACCUCGGCGCCGUUUUUAAUUGCACCAUGUGGCGACCCUGAUGAGAAAAAGGAAGGAAGGAAGAAGGAUUCAGUUUGAAUCGAAGAGCGUCGACAGGAAGGGAGUUUGAUUGGACGUGCACCGAUCGCGUAAUUAGACACGCCUCAUAUCUCGUCGAUGGCAUUGGGCGGCACCCAAUCGAUCGUCGAGGGAAGACGAGAGAGAGAGAGAGAGAGAGAGAGACAGACAAGAGCCGAGAAGCAGAAGAAGGAGAUGCCCGCGUCGAGACGAGGAGAUUCGAAUCGCUCGCACCAGGGAUGUGUAACGAUGUAUCUAACUGUGCGAGUGUGAGAGAGAGAAACCAUAGGUCGACUAGAAAACGAUGCGUCCCUGGUGGUCGGUAGAAGUUAUAGGUGGCUACCGCAUGGCUGCGUUGGAAGAAACUUUAACCUCGGCGAAGAAGAACGUAGAAGACGACCGCGAACAGGCAUCGUCUCGCUACGCGCAUCCUGAGAUUCCCUAAGUGUGGUUCUAUGUACUUGCGAGACGACUCGGUCACUGCAAAGUAAUGUUAUGCGUCAAUCGACCUCCACAACCCAGACGUAACCCGUGGUGGAUAAACUUUAGAAUAAACGAAACGAAAGUUUAUUUAUAUAUGGAGCACAAAGGAGUCCGCCCCUGGAAGAAGGAAAGGCACGUUCGAAGGAGCAACCUGCAAAGAUCGUUCGUGUCGGAUUGAUUCUCGAAGGAAUCGAGGAUGGAGGAGAGAAGAGAAAUAAAGAGGAUGGGCCGUAUUACACAUCGACAAGCGUAUACACGCUCGUUUCGAGAUCGGUCGUGCGUCUGGGCUAUGCUCGGAGGACGAUAGAGAUACGGACUGGGUUGCGUAGCCCUUCGAGAGGAGCGUACGUAGAAGUCUCGUCUUAUCGGCACGGUGCAAAUUAUAGAAGGCAUAAGGGGCCGAACAGGCAUAUCGCGGACGAACCGCGCGAUCCAGGCGUCGCGCGAGCAAUGCAUAUUCAAAGGACCCCCUGGGCCCGCUACCACCGUAGCCACCGUGGAGUCAGGACCAACGAUGCGACAACAAUCAGCGAAACAAACCCACUUAUGAUCAACAAGAGUAUACGUUAGUCGGCGGAGCCUCUUGCGGACAACUUGUCCGCUGAAUAUUCAUGAACCACCUCCGUCCUCCGUAGGUACGCGAGUUGCACCGUCGAAGGAAGCGAGAAGCGGGUUAAUGGACGGACCGAAAGAAAGGAAGAAAGAAAGAAAGAAAGAAAGAAAGAAAGGGCCAGUUCAUUGCGAUAGAAUUCAUUCGUCCUGCGUACGCGGAAGGACAAUUUAUAAAGAUAAAGCCUCUCCCGCCCUCCCAAAUUCAAACUAUCUUCUCUUCUCCUCGUCUCUUCUCCUCGCCGAGAGGGAUUCGUUCGUACGUGUAUUAAUUCCGUCUCGAAUAAAAACACGAUUCAUCAUCAGGAAUUUCAUCUCAAUUAUAUCUAGGCUACUCGACGGUAUUCGUCGUCGUUCGAGCCACUCGUGUAAUUUCUAUCAGUCCGUCGACCGGAAAGAUGUGUCUUUAGAGACGGCGAUUCGAUCGAGGAUAAUGCAUUUUUCUAUGCUUGCUCGUGUGGAAAAGGAAUUUUCUAAUGGAAUAUAUUUUUUUCGUCGGAGGGACUGUUAGUUAUUAAUGAACUGUCCGUUACGUUACAAUAUAACUCGGACCUCCUGCGACCUCUACAUUACGCUUUUACCGAUACUCCUCGCGAGAUUUUUCAUUCUCUUUCGAUAUCGGCGUACGUGUUACGUGUAAGCGGCAUAUCGAACUUUUUUCUCAUGCUCUCGGAUUCGAUACGUUUGAAUUUUUCGAAAGAAACGCCGCGUUGCACAAUCUGAGCGAACGUUUCGCGCUCGCCUAAUUCAUUCCGGCGUCCACCUUCAUUUAUCAGAUAGUAUCGUACUAAACGGUACAUUCGAUCUUACGACCGCGUCGAGCGUUACUCGUCGAGGAAAGGAAAAGAGGCUGCACGCGAGAUUGGAUUCGCUAUCUGGUUCGACCCGCGGAGUUUACCGGUCCUCGUAAUGCUUAACGCUGGAAGGAUCGCAUGAUGCGCCAGGCUGGUUUCGUUGUCAAUUAAUUAUAGGUAUCUAUCUUUCGGCGGAUAGCCAUCUCGUAGAUUGCUCCUUCGAGUAGACCACGUCGUCUAUACUUUUAACGUACUAUCUUCUCUCCUUGCGUGCUGGAUAUUUAAAUUUUAUUCGCAUAAAUCAAAAAACUCGUACGAUCUUAAUGGUAUAAAUUUCGAAAGGAAUCCUAUCAUAUUUCUUUUCUUUUCUUUUUUUUUUUUUUUUUUCGACAACUCCGUCCCUGUUAAAAUCUUUAUCAAGACUUCUCAUAAUUAACGUCGCUGAUAAAUAACACCUCUUGUAAUUAGUUGUCGGUGGUGAUUGGAAAGGAAAAAAAAAAAGAAAAAAAAAACCAGGAAAAAAGAGAGGAAGGGGAAGGAAAAAUCAUAGAAAUAUAAGUACCUAGGUAGGGUAUAUCAUUGGGAAUAUCGUCCUUAACAGGAAGCUAUCGAGGGAACGACAUGAACUCGUAAUCGAGGACUCUCUCCCUCUCUCUUUGUGGAAUCCAAACGGAUCACCUAUUUCCCGCGAUCUCUCUCGCGUCAUAGAUUUAUGACACGGUACUCGCUAUCCCGCAUUUCUAUAAUCGGAAGCCAUUGGUAACACCUCGAUAUCGUAGUCCGGAUCGCGCGAAACUGGCGCCAGGUCUCCUUCUCGGAGUAGCUCGGCGCCGAUUAGCCUUAUAAUGAGAGAAAAGCAUAGUUAAUGUGGUCAUGGAACGAGCGUACGUGCAUUACACAUUUUCACGAUUGCUCUUUUUUCUUCUUUUAUUUCACAGGGGAUGCUGCGCGAUGGCUAACACAACGUAUGUUAAUUAAAAGCGGACUCAAGGAUUUUUAAUUCACGACGGCUUCUCGUAAUCUGCAGUAUAUCAUAGAGCGUUUCCGAGAAAUUAGAUUACCGAGAUGGGAACUCGCGAUCACGAACGUAAACUUGAGAAAAUAUGCUAUUACGCGUUCGCGGAUGAAUAAACGCGAGGAGGCCACCGUGGUAGAUCGAACGAAAAUGCAGAUGGACGGGGAGGGAAAGAAAUUGAAGGGAAUAGGUAGGGUCAGGGGGAUAGGUAGAAGGCGCGUACAACGAGGAGAUAACGAAGAGAGAAGAAGAGAAACACAGGUAUCUCUUGGAGGGCGUACGACCGCCCGGAGUAUCGAGAGAGAGAGAAAGGGAUAGAGAGAUAGAGAAGCGGCUAAGGCGCGGCUGAGUGCAUAAAACUGCAAAAAUAAGCAACCUGCUCGCAAUAGGCGCGUCCCCACGCACGUUUUCUCGCACACGCGAUCUCUGCGUACGCGGCUUGGCUCAGGUGAAGCGGUUUGGACCGAGCGAGCGAACGAGAGAGAGAGAGAGAGAGAAUAAGAGCGAGCACGCACGCAUAAACGUGACUCGCCACAGCACGGCGAGAUGUAUCCUGUGGGCUAUUCUCGUUCGCACAUAAGAAACAUAUCGCUAGCUUAUGCUACUAAUGAGCUUCACGGUUAGUUCUUACCUAUGUUACCUCGUGAAAGUCGAUACAGUAUUUUGAGAGGACUUCCUCGAACGGUUCUGCAUGAAUUUUUCUUAUCAUAAUGGAGUAUCAUCGUCGAGAUAAUCCAAACAUUGACGUUGCGAUUCUUAUAACUAUUCUUCCCUUCGUCGUUACGCGUGCGGGUGAUCAACGUCAGUUCUUGAGAGAUCUCGAUCUGUAAGACUGACCAGAGGGAAAGUUUAUCCGGUUCAGCACGCGACGGAACUUAUCUUCUCUAGUGGCCCCGCGCCUGCGUAAUCGCAAGCGUAAGAGUCGUUAGCGAGGCUUUCGUACGAGCUCGGUCAUAGGAAUACAUCUUGACGAAUAAUAGACGUCUCCAUGGAGAGCCGUUAAUACCAGAGAAACACGAAGGAGUUUAAGGAACGCAUCGAUCCAACCGGACAUUUCUUCGAAGUCUCGUCUCGAGGGAGAGUCGACUCGAUCGAGAUCCCCAAGAGAUCUACGAGACUCCUCGGUCUUUCGUCGCAAUUACCUGGCAUAGUACGUACUACAAAUCGAUCGUAGCGAUUCGCGGAUCGAAGAUAUCAGCGGGGACCCAUAGCCCGGAUCACGAACGUGGAGGCGCGAUCUAUGACCGUCGGUCACGCCAGCCUAUCGGUCUUCAGCACUUAAUUACCCCCUGGUCGAUGAAGAUCGGGGUGGUCCAUGAUUUUUUUCUCUUUUCCGUCUCUCUUUCUCUCUCUUUCUCUUUAACAUCUCUCCGGUAUUUUGCCCGAGUUUAUGCCAGAUUGUAACUGAUUAUCGAUACAAAUGUCACAUACUAUUCUAUUUUUUUACCAUCCUUUCUAGUUUAUAAUCACAUUCAGCGACGAUUCAAGAGGUUCUUGGUAAAAGUUAAAUAACUAGUAUUUUCACUUUUGAAAGUUGCAUCUUAUACCAAGAGAGAGAGAGAGAGAGAGAGAGAGAGAGAGAGAGAGAGAGAGAGAGAGAUCGCACGUAAAGAUGUAUGUCGCGUGUUCUUCGUUCUGCCGUCACGUUCGGAAACCAUUUCGCGUUUAAUAUCUUCUCGAGUGCUCGUCUCGUACGUGGGAGAACGUACAUAGGAACUCGAGCACGCGAUUAAGAUCCACCGAUCUUCCUUUGCUCGUUCUCUUGCAAAAAUCUUCGUUAUCCAAGUUGCAAAACGUAACUAGACGCGCGUACCUCGUUCGUUCUCGUCCGCAAAUCAACGUUUCACGCGAUAUCCUUGCAAAUAGAGAUCGUCCGGUAUGCGUAUGUAGGAAAACACGGUGAUAUAGGUAAGAGGAUCGAAUAUGUAUGUAAACGUGUGUAUGUGUAAUAUGCGCAUAUAGAUACUGCGGAAUGGCAGACGGCAGUAGAGACUAACAACCGUCAUAAAGGCCGCGAUUCCUCUCUACGUAAGUCCAACGAUCAUAACAGUACAAGCGAGACGAGUAUACAAUGCGAAACGCUCCUCGUGUCUCGGGUGUCUCCUCGUAGUCGUCGUAGUCGUUCUUUCGUUCUCGUGCUUCUCGACUCGGAUCGUUUCCACGCUCGUUCUUCUUAUAAGGAUGACGACACGAAACGAAGAGGAGGACCAGGAAGAAGAGGUUGAGGGUAGCUCGGAGUACGGCGCCAGCUUGCGUCGAAUCCAUGCUUUCAACUUGAACCUAAAGGAGAAGUAGAAGAGUGAAGAAGAAAAGAUAAAAAGAAAGAGAGAGAGAGAGAGAGAGAGAGAGAGAGAGAAGGGCGGACAGACACAUCCGUGACUAAUCUUUCACGGUGAGGAGUCCUGCGAGUGCGCGCGUCCCGGUAUCGUGAAGUUCUUGAAUUAUUGCCCUGUUAUCUCGGCUCGUUGCUCUCCGUGGGAGGGGCGGGACCCCCUUCUAGAUCCAGUUUCAUGAAAGGCACCGACUCUCGCGGUUUCGUUCUUCCUCUUUCUUUCUCUUCCUCACGUUCACGAGAGAGAGAGAGAGAGAAAGAGGACACGGCGCGUUUCUCUAGUUCUAAUCUGUCGGCCAUUAGUUAGGCGGUUAUGAUGCCGAGUAGAAGAGGGAUGCAGGACGUUCGCUCAGUCGCGGGCGCGCGCGCGCACACGUUCAUGCGGCGGCCUUUUGCUCGGGAAGGGGUAUAUGAUGCGAAGCACGUUGCCCGUGUCGCCGUUUGUCCCGCCGUUCUGAGGCACCGAGACCACCCUGAAAGCUGCAGCUAAAGAGAGAGAGAGAGAGAGAGAGAGAGAGAGAGAGAGAGAGGAAGAACCCGCAGCAACCUGCCUUCCUCGAGACGUUCCUUGCAGUCUUUUUCUUUUCUGCUACCGACUCUUUCUCCCUUCGAUAUACUUUGGAACAUCUUCCGGUGGAGAAAUUCGGUUGAGGAUCCUCCGAAUCUCGACUGUAUCGACUUGUUCUCUUGAGAACGAUUCGCUUGCCCUCGCAUGGCCUCCGUCCGUAACUUAUGCCUCCACCUCGUGACCCCUCGAACUUCUUCGUGGCUUUUACCUUUCCUUGCUCGUAUCUACCCUUUAUCGUGCUAUGUCUACCGUAGCUCUUACUGGCAGGUGCACGCUUUAAUAUUUUUCACAAAUUAUUUUCUUUUCUUUUUUUCCUCCUUUAGAAGGAAGAAGAUGAAGAAGAAGAAGAAAGGAAAUCAACGAUCGCCUGGUAACGCGAGUAUUAGCAACGCCAAGAAAAGUCGAUUCAAAAGAGCAUACGGUUAAUCAGAGAGAAAAUAUAAAUCCACGCACGAAACUAAUUGCUCGUACCUGUUCGACAAAGGGGUAACUCGUCGAGGCCGCGCCAAUAAACACGUCCCGCUA